rnacentral:rRNA from 1 species
CGGUAAUUCCAGCUCCAAUAGCGUAUAUUAAAGUUGUUGCGGUUAAAAAGCUCGUAGUUGGAUUUCUGUCGAGGACGACCGGUCCGCCCUCUGGGUGAGCAUCUGGCUCGGCCUUGGCAUCUUCUUGGUGAACGUAGCUGCACUUGACUGUGUGGUACGGUAUUCAGGACAUUUACUUUGAGGAAAUUAGAGUGUUUCAAGCAGGCUUUCGCCGUGCAUACAUUAGCAUGGAAUAAUGACAUAGGACCCCGGUUCUAUUUUGUUGGUUUCUAGAACUGAGGUAAUGAUUAAUAGGGACAGUUGGGGGCAUUCGUAUUUAACUGUCAGAGGUGAAAUUCUUGGAUUUGUUAAAGACGAACUACUGCGAAAGCAUUUGCCAAGGAUGUUUUCAUUGAUCAAGAACGAAAGUUAGGGGAUCGAAGACGAUCAGAUACCGUCCUAGUCUUAACCAUAAACCAUGCCGACUAGGGAUUGGAGGUCGUUACUCAUACGACCCCUUCAGCACCUUAUGAGAAAUCAAAGUCUUUGGGUUCCGGGGGGAGUAUGGUCGCAAGGCCGAAACUUAAAGGAAUUGACGGAAGGGCACCACCAGGAGUGGAGCCUGCGGCUUAAUUUGACUCAACACGGGGAAACUUACCAGGUCCAGACAUAGGAAGGAUUGACAGAUUGAUAGCUCUUUCUUGAUUCUUUGGGUGGUGGUGCAUGGCCGUUCUUAGUUGGUGGAGUGAUUUGUCUGCUUAAUUGCGUUAACGAACGAGACCUUAACCUGCUAAAUAGUGGCUAGAACCCCAGGGUUUCAAGGUGACUUCUUAGAGGGACUUCGUGGGUUUACCAUGAGGAAGCGUGAGGCAAUAACAGGUCUGUGAUGUCCUUAGAUGUUCUGGGCUGCACGCGCGCUACACUGAUGCGUCCAACGAGCACCGAACCUACUCCGGAAGGAAUGGGUAACCUUGUGAAAGCGCAUCGUGAUGGGGAUCGAUGCUUGCAAUUUUUCAUCGUGAACAAGGAAUCCCUAGUAAACGCAAGUCAUCAGCUUGCGCUGAUUACGUCCCUGCCCUUUGUACACACCGCCCGUCGCACCUACCGAUUGAAUGGUCCGGUGAAAUCUUCGGAUCUGAGAGAUGCUGGAUUCAUUUUUGGCGUCUUUUAGAAAAGUUGCCUAAACCUUAUCAUUUAGAGGAAGGUGAAGUCGUAACAAGGUAGCCG